rnacentral:rRNA from 2 species
CUUGCUUCUCUGAUGUUAGCGGCGGACGGGUGAGUAACACGUGGGUAACCUACCUAUAAGACUGGGAUAACUCCGGGAAACCGGGGCUAAUACCGGAUAAUAUUUUGAACCGCAUGGUUCAAUAGUGAAAGACGGUUUCGGCUGUCACUUAUAGAUGGACCCGCGCCGUAUUAGCUAGUUGGUAAGGUAACGGCUUACCAAGGCGACGAUACGUAGCCGACCUGAGAGGGUGAUCGGCCACACUGGAACUGAGACACGGUCCAGACUCCUACGGGAGGCAGCAGUAGGGAAUCUUCCGCAAUGGGCGAAAGCCUGACGGAGCAACGCCGCGUGAGUGAUGAAGGUCUUCGGAUCGUAAAACUCUGUUGUUAGGGAAGAACAAAUUUGUUAGUAACUGAACAAGUCUUGACGGUACCUAACCAGAAAGCCACGGCUAACUACGUGCCAGCAGCCGCGGUAAUACGUAGGUGGCAAGCGUUAUCCGGAAUUAUUGGGCGUAAAGCGCGCGUAGGCGGUUUCUUAAGUCUGAUGUGAAAGCCCACGGCUCAACCGUGGAGGGUCAUUGGAAACUGGGAAACUUGAGUGCAGAAGAGGAGAGUGGAAUUCCAUGUGUAGCGGUGAAAUGCGCAGAGAUAUGGAGGAACACCAGUGGCGAAAGGCGGCUCUCUGGUCUGUAACUGACGCUGAUGUGCGAAAGCGUGGGGAUCAAACAGGAUUAGAUACCCUGGUAGUCCACGCCGUAAACGAUGAGUGCUAAGUGUUAGGGGGUUUCCGCCCCUUAGUGCUGCAGCUAACGCAUUAAGCACUCCGCCUGGGGAGUACGACCGCAAGGUUGAAACUCAAAGGAAUUGACGGGGACCCGCACAAGCGGUGGAGCAUGUGGUUUAAUUCGAAGCAACGCGAAGAACCUUACCAAAUCUUGACAUCCUUUGACCGCUCUAGAGAUAGAGUCUUCCCCUUCGGGGGACAAAGUGACAGGUGGUGCAUGGUUGUCGUCAGCUCGUGUCGUGAGAUGUUGGGUUAAGUCCCGCAACGAGCGCAACCCUUAAGCUUAGUUGCCAUCAUUAAGUUGGGCACUCUAGGUUGACUGCCGGUGACAAACCGGAGGAAGGUGGGGAUGACGUCAAAUCAUCAUGCCCCUUAUGAUUUGGGCUACACACGUGCUACAAUGGAUAAUACAAAGGGCAGCGAAUCCGCGAGGCCAAGCAAAUCCCAUAAAAUUAUUCUCAGUUCGGAUUGUAGUCUGCAACUCGACUACAUGAAGCUGGAAUCGCUAGUAAUCGUAGAUCAGCAUGCUACGGUGAAUACGUUCCCGGGUCUUGUACACACCGCCCGUCACACCACGAGAGUUUGUAACACC